AUGAACGCUAGCGACAGGCCUAACACAUGCAAGUCAGGGGCAGCACAAGGAGCAAUCUGAGGUGGCGACCGGCGCACGGGUGAGUAACACGUAUGCAACCUGCCUGUAAGCGGGGAAUAACCCGUUGAAAGACGGACUAAUACCGCAUAAUACUAAAUUACUGCAUGGUAAUUUAUUUAAACAUUUAUGGCUUACAGAUGGGCAUGCGCAUGAUUAGCUAGUUGGAGAGGUAACGGCUCCCCAAGGCAACGAUCAUUAGGGGUUCUGAGAGGAGGGUCCCCCACACUGGUACUGAGACACGGACCAGACUCCUACGGGAGGCAGCAGUGAGGAAUAUUGGUCAAUGGACGAGAGUCUGAACCAGCCAAGUCGCGUGCAGGAAGAAUGUCCUUAAUGGAUUGUAAACUGCUUUUGCAGGGGAAUAAAGUGCAUCACGUGUGAUGUUUUGUAUGUACUCUGCGAAUAAGGAUCGGCUAACUCCGUGCCAGCAGCCGC
rnacentral:rRNA from 1 species